AGGCCUUCGGGCCUAUGUCUUAUCAUAUAAUCUGAAUGUCUAAUAGAAUGUAAACCCAUUUCGUUGCCUUGAAAACGUAACGAAAGAAAACUAUACAACUUUCAACAACGGAUCUCUUGGCUCUCGCAUCGAUGAAGAACGCAGCGAAAUGCGAUAAGUAAUGUGAAUUGCAGAUUUUCAGUGAAUCAUCGAAUCUUUGAACGCACCUUGCGCCCCUUGGUAUUCCGAGGGGCAUGCCUGUUUGAGUGUCAUUAAAUCCUCAACCCCUCCGAUUCGUUUCGGUGGGGAUUGGACUUGGAGCGUGCUGGCGAAGGUCGGCUCCUCUUUAAAUGCAUCAGCGGAGAAAAUGCCUUUUGCGCCUCUGGCCGUUCAGCGUGAUAAUGAUGUUGCGCUGCGGUCGAGCUUAAGGUCCGCUUCCAAAGGUCCUCGGACAAAUAUACAUAUGACUUUUGACCUCAAAUCAGGUAGGACUACCCGCUGAACUUAAGCAUAUCAAUAAG
rnacentral:rRNA from 1 species